UGAGAAUGAAAACUGCCGAAGGUUGCAUCUAGCUCCACGUGUUCAUCCCACAAGUUUUGAGAUCUCUUGCAAAUUCUGGAUUUAUAUAAUCCCAUUGAUAAAUAUGGGAAAAAAUGGUGAGGAUGCUGAAAAUCAUUAUAUGAACCUAAAAUCAUGAUAAUUAAGUCCAAGUCGAUGGUAACUUCUUCACCAAGACUGAAUUUGCCAGAACCCAGAAAGGGCCUCAAAAGAUUACUUUGAAGUUGUGUUCACAAAUCUGUUGACAACUUGCAUUGUCACCAAAUAUCAGUUAAAACACUUGUAUGAAACAAGCAUUCAGCAAAACAAAUUGAAGCUCUUACAGUUCAGGUGCUCCUCCUUAUAUGGCUAAAGCUCCAAUUCAGCAGUGGCACAAAUAACCAAUCUUUCUAAUGAAUCUAGAUGUCAUUGAAGGAAAAUGCAGCAAGUCUUGAGAUACCAGAUGACACCAAUGCUGGAAACUAAACAAUGAAGCUGAAUCGAGUCCACCACUGGUCCUAUGAAUUAAAAAAAAAACCAACCAAUAACAAGUCAACUGUCAAUAAGAAUUAAGUAUGAAUCUUAAUAUCUGAAUUUUAAGAACACAGACACAACAGGGGAUGAAGAUGAGAAAAAAAUAAUAAUAAUAAUAAGCAAAAAUCACAAGCUGUUGAACAAAUUUCCAAUUUUUAUGUUCAUAAAUUAUGUUUUUAACAUUUACAAUGUAGAACUACAAGGUUUCAGUAUGGUAAAGCACCUUCUGAAAGACAAGUAAUUUAUAAAGCAGAGCAAGUUAGAUUCAUCCUGGUCGGUUUUAAUUAAUUAAAGCACUUCAUUUGCUGUUAUUAAUUUAUAAGUUCAAAAUUUACUAUUAACAAUUGUGGAAGACAAAAGUAUGGCAAUAUGAAAAAUGAAAUGAAAAAACUGAAAAUGUAUGAUAAUAUGAAAAACUGAGAUGAAAUGAAACCCUUACCCAUGCAUUUGGAUGACAUAAUUGAGAAGUUGAAAGUCCUCAAAAGCAGAGCCAAAGAUGGAAAGAAAUACAAACUAUUUCAAUCUUUUAAGUCCUCCAUCCCCUUCUUCACCAUCAUGGCUAAAGCUUCUUUUGUUCCCAGCAACUCUCUUUUCAGUAGCAUCCACGUAAAAUACAUGAACACCACAUCUCUCCACCUUGAUAUACUUUUCUCCUCCAUCAUUGUCUUCAUCGAAAUGGAAAUUGUUAAUGUAGAAUUCAAAUGUUGCCUCCUCAUAAUUCUUGUCUUCUAUAACCAUGUCGAUGCUAGAUAGAAUAAACACGUGAUAAUCCAUGUACUAAACUGGCUCAUAAAAACUGCGGAAAGAGAUCUCACUUCUGAAAUUUUCACAACCACCUCCACCAUUGCCGCCAACGGCAGUUGUAAGUUGGUACUCACAAAUACAUUCACGUAAUUGAAAUUCAAGGCAGUGAGUGAGAUCAACCACAAGGCAGAUAGCAAAAACCAAAAAUCUGCUCCCACUACCCCCAUUUGGGGCUAUCUUCAAACUUAAGGAAGAAUUCAUGCUCUGACACUUGAACAUAUUUGCUGAAAUUUUGUUUCCUGGGAAACAACAAAUCAAACUUGGAGCUCUGUCAGGGUUGUAUUGCCAAUCAUAUCUCGCUGCCCAUUUCUUAGCUAGGGAUCCAAUUUUGAGCAUGGUAUUUGCCUCAAUGUUAUUAGUUGAGUCUUGAUUCAAGUUGAAGCAAUUACGGAAUCGCAUCAAAAAGUUAUGAUUUAUGCAAAACUCAUCAUCUAAAGAAUCAAACUGAUUUAAAUUUUGAUCUGCGAAGGAUACUUUUUCUAAUGAUGUGCAGUCAUUUACACUCAAGACUUCCAGAUAUGGUGGAAGCUCUGAGAGUAAUUCGACCUUUGGGCAACCACUAAGAUCCAGAUAAUGAAGAGAUUCCAACUUGAUCGAUACAUUUUUGACCGCUGAGCCACUCAUAUUUAAGUGCUGAAGAUUACAUAGAGAGUCGAAAGGCAACGACACUUCUUCAAUUUGAGUGCCAGAUAAGUUUAAUUUUAUUAAGCUUCCUGGGAUUUCUGGAAAUUUGACCAUUGGGCAUCCACUAAGAUUCAGUUUGCGAAUGGAUUCCAACUUGAUCGAUACAUUUUUGACCGCUGAGCCACUCAUUUUUAAGUGCUGAAGAUUACAUAGGGGGUCGAAAGGCAACGACACUUCUUCAAUUGGGCAACCACUAAGAUCCAAUUUACGAAGGAAUUCCAACUUUAAAAUAUUGAUCGAUACUUUUUUCACCUUUGACUUCCCUAACCACAAAGUUUCAAGUUUGUGGUAGAUCCUUAAUUGAAUCAGACACUUCUUCUACUUUGGUUUCUGAUAAAUCUAAAGAGCAAAAGGGAGGUGGGACAUUAGGAAACUUCUUGAGACUAUAACAUCCGUUAAGACGAAGACUAUAUUGAUGAAGAGAUGCCAAAUGAUUGAGGCAAGGAAGUUCAACCAAACUUUUACAGUUAGAGCAACCAAGGAAUUCAAGGUUGAUUGCUCUUGAAAGAUUAGAUAUCUUCCUUAAAUUCACGCACCCAUCAAAGUAAAUUUUCCUUAAAUGAACAAGGUCCUGUACAGAAAAAAUAAUUGUUUUACUUUUAAGCAUCAACCACUUACUUUAGACCGUAAAAUAUGUAAAGGAAAUAAAUAAUUAUAAUACGAUAAAAAAUAAAAAUUUAUAUUUGAUGUAUCAAGGGUGAAAAUCCACCCACAGCUAAUAAAUCAAAUGAUGUCACUUAUCUAAAUAAAAUAAAUUCUUUUAUAUAUAUUUUUAAAAACCUUUAAAUAAAAUAUUAUCAUAUGAAUAUUUGAUACAUCAAAUUAUAAAUUAUUUUUUUCAAAAAAAAAAGAGUAUAAAAAUGCAUACCAUACGAUCAUCUUCAUCCCAAAGUUCAACCAAACUUUGACAGUAAGAGCAAUCAAGGAAUUCAAGGUUGAUGGCUCUUGAAAGAUUACAUAUCUUCCUUAUAUUUUUGCAUUCUGAAAUAUAAAUUUCCCUUAAAUUAACAAGCUCCUGUAUGGAAACAACAUUUGUAUUGCUUUGAAGCAUCAACUACUUACUUUAAGUAGUAAAAAAUGAAAAAGGAAAUAAAUAAUUAUAAUACUAAGAAAAAUAAAAAUUCAUAUUUGAUGUAUUGGGUGUGAAAAUUAACACACAAUUAAUAGAUCAAAUGAUGCCACUAAUUUAUAUAAAAUAAAAUAAAAUCUUUCAUAUUUCUUUUUUAAAAACUUUAAUUAAGAUGUCAACAUAUCAUAUGAUUAUUUGAUACAUUAAAUUAAAAAAAAUCUUAAAUGAAAUAAGUAUGAAAGUACACAUACUAUAUGAUCAUCUUCAUUCCAAAGUUCAACCAGACUUUCACAGCCAAUGCAACGAAGGAGUUCAAGGUUGAUGGCACCUGAAAGAUUAUGCAUCUUCCUUAAAUUCUUGCAAUAUGAAACGUCAAUUUCCCUUAGAUUAGUAAGGUUCUGUGCAAAAGAAAAAUAUAUAAAAAUAAUUAUAUAUCAUUGUCAAGUAUCAUCUACUUACUUUAGGCAGUAAGAAAUAAAAAGAAAAUAAAUAAUUGACAAGAUCCUGCACAGGAUGAGAACGAAAGUAGUUUCAUUACUUUAGAGCAUCAUCUACUUAUAUUAAGAUUAUCAAAAUAAAAAUUUGUAUUGGGUGUAUUAAUUCACCCACCAUUAAUAGAUGAAAUUGCUUCUUUUAGAAAAAAAAAAUAUAUAUAUUUAAAAAAAUUAAAUAAAAUGAUUUCACUUAUUCAAAUAAAAUAAAAUGUUUCAUAUUUAUAUUUUAAAAACUUUAAAUAAAUAUCAUAUGAUAUAUUAUUUGACACAUCAAAUUAUAAAUCCUCUUUCUCCUUAAAAAAACUUCUUAAAUGAAGAAAGUAUGAAAGUAUAUACCAUAUUGUCAUCUUCACUCCAAAGUUGUUCCAUGUUGCCAUGUAAUAGUUUCAACAUGACAAGAUUUUUUGGAUUAAAACUAGAUAAAGAUUUGAAAGGGUAAACAUCCCAACAGAGAAACCUUAACUCAUCAGGAAGAGAUAUACUCUCAACUUGAUUUGCAUAUAGCUUCUUAAGCCAUAACAUUUUCUUAGGAAAGCUGAUGUUGAUAUAUCUAAGCUUAUGCAUCUUCUCAAUAGCAGUAGCACAAAACUGUAGACUAUCAACUUCAGUCAUGUCUACCUUUAUUCCUUUAAUUAGAUCAGUCCCCUGAUAAAAAAAAAUAUUUAUCAUGAAUUAACACAAAGAAAUUUAUGUACAUUCCAUUAAAUCAGUCAUAAAAAAGUUAAUUAUAUUAGGAAACACUUUAAACUAACGCAUACCUUUUUUUUUUUUUGAAGUUUGAAUUUUUUUAAUCAAAAUGGCUUUUUAUAAUUAAAAUUUAUUUUAAUAUAUGAAACUUUGAUUUGUAAUCAAGUAACUCAGCUCUUGUGUAUGUAUGUGAUGCUAUUUUUGUCUUAAAGAUUAUUAUCAACAAGAAAAAUUGUUCCAAUGAUGUUGGGGGGUGUUAAUUUCCAAGUCAAGGUCUUCCAUUGGGACAAAAUUGUUAAGUAAAUAAAAUUCCAUUCUUUGAAUUUCUUUUUGGGUCCUAACAAAAAUAUUGACUUCUACACACUUUGUGAUUUGGGUCAAUUGAACUGAAAUUUCAUAUAAUUUUCUUUAAGAAGAAGCACUUUCAGACAAUUUUAAGUGAAUUGAACUUAAAUUUCCCACAACUUUAUAAUUUUCACUUUUUUCCCCUAAAUGAAAAGUUUUGGGAAUGAAGGGUGUUGUGUUUCUAUUUUCCUAGGUAAAAUAAUGAUAGAUUUUCUUUCUGCUUUGGGGGUUUCCUAUUUAAUCCUUUAUUUUGAGCACAGGUAAGGUGAGUUUGGUUAAAAAGACCUCUUUAGUUUCUUUCAAUUUUGGAAUCGAAUAAAUUGGUCACUCUCAAAAAAGAAAAUCAAAGCAAUUGAAUCAUGGUUAAUUUUAAAGGUGAGUAACUAAGGACAACUAAUCGUGAUGUUAACGUCUUUCGUCAAUUGUACAUAAUUUUGAUUGGUAUAACAAUAAAUUUAGCCUUCAAUGUUUCCAUUUUUUGUCAAUUUGGUCUUGGUUCUAAAAAAUCAAUAAAUUUAGUAUCAACAUUUACACAAAUGUUGUGGGCUAAAUUUGUUAAAUCAAGACAAAAUUGUAAAAUUUGAGGGGUAAAUUUGUUAUUAUACUAAUCAAAAUUAUGUAAGUUUGAUGGACAACAUUAAUGUUGUGCUUAAUUUACUUUAAUUGCUCACUUUCGAAAUUGAUGGAAUUUAAAUUGUUCUAAUUUUUUUAAGGGAGAUCAAUUUACUAAAUAUCAACCUUGAGAUAGAUUGAAUAGAUCUUUUACCAACAAAUAUGCUUGCUUACAUUUAUUUUAAACAUAGAAUCCAAUCAGUUUUCUAAUUAAACAUGGAUUCACCUAAACUGAUUAGCAAGUAGGAAUGAGCAAAAUUCAAUUCUAUUUGUAUUGGCAAGCAUGCAAUCUUUGAUUUUUUCAAAGAUGAAUGGUGUCAGAAAGUUGGCACCGAAAAUCUAAGCAUUUAAGGCAUAGAUUUUUGAGUUGAAAUUUGGCUUGGAAUAAUUGCAAUUUUGGUCCCUAAUUGUAUAGGGACUUUGCAAGUUGAUCGUUGAGCUUCAACUAUAAAUAGGCCUAGCUAUUUCUCAUUUUCACCAUCCCACAAAUGCCAUUCUCUACUUAAGGCAUUAUUCUCUCUCCUUAUUUGUAAAAUUUCACUUGUAUUUUGGAGUGAAAUAUAUUUGGUAGUGCCCGAGGACGUAGGCAAAAUUUGCUGAACCUUGUUAAAAUUCUAGUGUUCUUUAUUGUUUAUUUUGCAUAUUUUGUAAGUGUGAUUGUAGUGAUUUAUUGUGCUAUUAAAUUACGAUAGAGGGAUAUUCUGGCUAGGAAAGACCUGGGAAUUGAACUUAGUGUGAUUUUUUAGUACAAUAAUUUUACUCUUUUACACGCUUUCGCGCAACAAUUGGUAUCUGAGCUAGAUUCGUACUUGGGGAAUACGACCAUUUACGAUACUAUUUACGUAUACGAUAUUGUUCAUCCACGGCACUAUUCACGUAGACGGUACUGUUCACAUAAACAGUAGUUGGGAUCGAGGAGAAGAAUGGCAGAGGCAUCGUCAUCAACAAAGACUACCGUGACCAAUGCAAAAUUUGAAGUAGAGAAAUUUGAUGGUACAAAUAAUUUUGGUAUGUGGCAAUGUGAGAUCCUGGAUGUCUUAUGUCAGCAAGAGUUGGAUAUAGCUCUUGAAGAAAAACCUGACAAGAUGGAUGACAAGGAGUGGGCCAAGAUCAAUAGACAGGCGUGUGGUACAAUCCGCUUAUGUCUGGCCAAAGAGCAGAAGUACUCUGUCAUGAGGGAGACAUCAGCAAAGAAGUUAUGGGAUACACUGGAAGAAAAGUUUCUAACGAAAAGUCUUGAAAAUAGGCUUUAUAUGAAAAAGAAACUUUUUCGAUUCACGUAUGCACUCGGUAUGUCGAUGAAUGACCAUGUGAACUCAUUUAAUAAAAUUUUAGCAGACUUGCUAAAUUUGGAUGAGAAGUUUGAAGAUAAGACAAGGCAUUAUUGUUGUUGAAUUCUCUUGCCGAUGAAUAUGAUCAUCUUACCACCACAUUGCUUCAUGGGAAGGAUACGAUCACAUUUGAUGCAGUCUGCAGUGCGUUGUACAGAUCUGAGACUCGAAAGAAAGAUAAAAGAGAUCACAGAGAUACAACUGCAGAAGUCUUAACAGUAAGAGGUCGUUCACACAGCAACAAACCUGGUAGAAGGGGCAAGUCCAAAGGGAGACCCGCCAAAGAUGAAUGUGCUUUUUGUCGUGAGAAAGGGCAUUGGAAAAAGAAUUGUCCUAAGUUACAAAAGGGCAAGGCUAUUUCUAAUGCAUGUGUAGCGGAGCAUGAUGAGGAGUCAGACUUUAGCUUGGUUGGCAUGGCAAUGACAUGUCAUACAGAUGAGUGGAUAUUGGAUUCGGGAUGUACUUACCAUAUGUGUCCUAAUAAGGACUGGUUUUCUAGUCUUGAAGAACUAGAAGGUGGAGUUGUUUUUAUGGGCAAUGACAGUGCCUGUAAGACAAUGGGAGUAGGUACAAUCAAAUUAAAGAAUCACGACGGCUCAAUCCAAGUCUUGAUAGAUGUUCGCUAUGUACCUAGCUUGAAGAAAAAUCUCAUCUCAUUAGGGGCCCUAGAAUCUGGGCUCACAGUCACUUUGAGAGAUGGAUUACUAAAGGUAGUAGCUGGGGUAUUGACAGUGAUGAAAGACACUAGAAGAAAUAACUUUUACUAUUUAAAUGGAAGUACAGUUAUUGGAUCAACAUCAACAGCUUCUGCAAAAGAUGCAGAUUCAGAGGCUACCAGUUUAUGGCAUAGGCGAUUGGGACAUGCUGGUGAAAAAGCUUUGCAGACUUUGGCGAAGCAAGGCUUGUUGAAAGGUGCAAAUUCUUGCAAAUUGGAAUUCUGUGAACAUUGUGUUCUGGGCAAGCAGACGAGGGUAAAAUUUGGUUCAGCAAUUCACAAUACGGAAGGAAUUCUGGACUACGUUCACAGUGACGUGUAGGGACCUACCAAAGUGGCUUCUUUGGGAGGUAUGCACUAUUUUGUUACUUUUGUUGAUGAUUAUUCAAGAAAAGUAUGGGUGUAUCUAAUGAAAAGAAAAAGUGAAGUUUUGGAUGCAUUUCUGAAGUGGAAGAAGAUGGUGGAGACUCAGACUGGUCGAAAGGUCAAACGACUUCGAUCAGAUAAUGGUACUGAGUACAAAAAUGAUCCAUUUCUACAAGUAUGUCAAGAUGAGGGCAUUGUGCGACACUUCACUGUCCGGGAUACACCACAGCAGAAUGGGGUGGCAGAACGUAUGAAUCGGACUAUACUGGAGAAAGUUCGAUGUAUGUUGUCCAAUGCUGGAUUGGGCAAGGAAUUUUGGGCUGAGGCAGUUACAUAUGCGUGCCAUCUAAUCAACCGGUUUCCAUCAGCUGCAAUAAAGGGAAAAACUCCUAUGGAGAUGUGGACUGGUAAACCUGCUACUGAUUAUGAUUCUUUACAUGUUUUUGGUUCCACUGCAUAUUAUCAUGUAAAAGAAUCUAAGUUAGACCCAAGAGCAAAGAAAGCAUUAUUCAUGGGUAUAACUGGUGGAGUAAAAUGAUACCGUCUCUGGUGUCCUGAUACAAGGAAGAUUGUUUUCAGUAGAGAUGUGACUUUUGAUGAAUCAACCAUGAUGAAGAACAAAGAUUCACAAAAGGAUGACAAAACCAGUAGUACUUUGCAGCAGGUGGAGCUUGAAAAGGUUAAUGAUGAUCCAGCUAAUAUUGAAGAAACAAAUGAUGAAGAAGUUUUGACUCAAGAACUUCUACAGCAACAAGAUUCAAUUGCAUAUAGGAGGCCAAGAAGAGAGAUUCGUAAGCCUGCUCGCUUUGAUGAUAUAGUGGCCUAUGCACUUUCAAUUGCAGAUGAUGAUGUUCCUUCUACUUACACAGAAGUAAUAAGUAACCCUGAUAGUGUAAAGUGGAAGCAAGCUAUGAAUGAAGAAAUGCAGUCUCUUCAUAAAAAUAGGACUUGGGAGUUGGUGACACUGCCCAAGGGAAAGAAGGCAAUUGGAUGUAAAUGGGUAUAUGCAAAGAAAGAAGGAUUUCCUGGUAAAAAUGAAAUUCGAUACAAGGCUAGAUUGGUAGCAAAGGGUUACGCUCAGAAAGAAGGAAUAGACUACAAUGAAGUGUUUUCUCCAGUUGUGAAGCAUUCGUCUAUUCGGAUUUUGCUAGCCUUGGUUGCGCAAUAUGACCUUGAACUAGCUCAGCUUGAUGUGAAGACGGCUUUUUUACACGGUGAUUUGGAAGAGGAAAUCUAUAUGACUCAACCUGAUGGAUUCAAGGUUGCUGGUAAAGAAAAUUGGGUUUGCAAACUGAUGAAGUCGCUUUAUGGAUUGAAAUAAUCUCCGAGACAGUGGUACAAGCGAUUUGAUCAGUUCAUGAAAGGGCAAAGGUACACAAGAAGUAAAUUUGAUCAUUGCGUGUAUUUUCAGAAGCUACAAGUAGGAACUUUCAUAUACUUGCUCUUAUAUGUUGAUGAUAUGCUGAUAGCAUCUAAGAGCAAAGUUGAGAUUGAGAAAUUGAAGACUCAACUCAAUCUUGAAUUUGAGAUGAAAGAUCUAGGUGAAGCUAAGAAGAUUCUUGGCAUAGAAAUAUGUAGAGAUAGAGCUCAAGGCAGAGUUAGCUUGUCUCAGAAGCAGUAUUUGAAGAAAGUACUACAGCAGUUUGGCAUGAACGAGCAGACCAAACCAGUAAGUACCCCGUUGGCUUCUCAUUUCAAGCUUUCUGCACAACUAUCUCCUUCGACGAAUACGGAACAAGAAUACAUGUUACAAGUUCCGUAUUCUAAUGUAGUGGGUAGCUUGAUGUAUGCAAUGGUGUGUACAAGACCCGACAUUUCACAAGCAGUUAGUAUAAUGAGCAGAUAUAUGCAUAAUCCUGGAAAAGGACAUUGGCAAGCUGUGAAAUGGAUUCUACGAUAUAUUCUGAAGACCGUGGAUGUUGGAUUACUGUUCAAGCAGGAUACUACACUUGGUAAAGGUGUUAUUGGGUACGUUGAUUCUGACUAUGCCGGUGAUUUGGACAAACGAAGAUCAACCACCGGUUAUGUGUUUACACUUGCUGGAGGACCAAUAAGUUGGAAGUCUACACUACAGUCUACAGUUGCGUUGUCAACCACAGAAGCCGAAUACAUGGCUGUAACAGAGGCUGUAAAGGAAGCUAUUUGGUUACAAGGUAUGGUUAAAACCUUGGGAUUGGUUCAGGAGCAUAUUGACGUGUAUUGUGAUAGUCAAAGUGCUAUUCAUUUAGCAAAGAAUCAAGUCUAUCAUGCACGUACAAAGCAUAUCGACGUACGAUUCCAUUUUGUGCGGGAAAUUAUUGAUGAGGGGAAAAUUCGUCUUCAGAAGAUCAAGACUGCAGAUAAUCCCGCAGAUAUGAUGACCAAGGUGGUAACAACAAUCAAGUUCGAACAUUGUUUGAGCUUGAUCAAUAUUCUGGAAGUCUAACAGUUGAAGAAGGCACUAUCAAGUAUUGUUGUCAAAGGCAGAAAGAAUUGUGUGAAGAUAAGAUUAUCCUAAUCAAAUCUUCAAGGUGGAGAUUAUUGGCAAGCAUGCAAUCUUUGAUUUUUUCAAAGAUGAAUGGUGUCAGAAAGUUGGCACCGAAAAUCUAAGCAUUUAAGGCAUAGAUUUUUGAGUUGAAAUUUGGCUUGGAAUAAUUGCAAUUUUGGUCCCUAAUUGUAUAGGGACUUUGCAAGUUGAUCGUUGAGCUUCAACUAUAAAUAGGCCUAGCUAUUUCUCAUUUUCACCAUCCCACAAAUGCCAUUCUCUACUUAAGGCAUUAUUCUCUCGCCUUAUUUGUAAAAUUUCACUUGUAUUUUGGAGUGAAAUAUAUUUGGUAGUGCCCGAAGACGUAGGCAAAAUUUGCUGAACCUCGUUAAAAUUCUAGUGUUCUUUAUUGUUUAUUCUACAUAUUUUGCAAGUGUGAUUGUAGUGAUUUAUUGUGCUAUUAAAUUACGAUAGAGGGAUAUUCUGGCUAGGAAAGACCUGGUACUUAAGCGAUCUUCGUGAUCCACCUCCCUUUCCUGGGAAUUGAACUUAGUGUGAUUUUUUAGUACAAUAAUUUUACUCUUUUACAUGCUACCGCGCAACAAUUUGAAAAAAUAGAAAAAAAAUCGAAUUUCAAAUUAUUCGAAUUGAGUUAAUUGAGUUAAUCAAAUUAAUUGACUCAACUUGAUUUUCUUUCAAAUUUCGAGUUCAAUUCGAGGAGUUUUCGAAUUCUAAGAAUCCAAAUAAUUCGAAUAAAUCAAUUGCCCAAACAAAAUUAAGCUAAAUGAUGUCCACCACAGAUCCUAUGAAUCAAAACCAACCAAUAACAAGUCAACUGCCAAAAAGAAUUCAAGUAUGAAUCUUAAUGUCUCUUCACUGCAAUGCUCAAACAACAUGAGAGGCAGUAACAUACAAAGAAAUUUCAGCCCUAACAGAUAUGAUAAUCAAAAUCCAAGAUAAGGAAAUAUCAACUCCAAUGCCUCUACCAUGAAACUAACUCAAUCUAGUCUGAGAAUGAAAACUGUCAAAGGUUGCCUCCAGCUCCAUGUGUUCAUCUCACAAGUUUUGAGAUCUGUUGCAAAUUCUGGAUUUAUAUAAUCCCAUUGAUAAAUAUGGGAAAAAAAUAUUUAAGGAUGCUGAAAAUCAUCAUAUGAACCUAAAAUCAUAAUAAUAAGUCAAAGUCAAAGGUAACUUACUUCUCCACCAAGACUGAAUUGCCAGAACCUAAAAAGGGCCUCAAAAGAUUACUUUGCAUUUGUGUAGACAAAUCUGUUGACAACUUGCAUUUUCACCAAAUAUCAGUUCAAACACUUGUAUAAAGCAAGCAUUCAGUAAAACAAAUUGAAGCUCUUACAGCUCAGGUGUUCCUCCUUGUAUGGCUAAAGCUCCAAUUCAGCAGUGGCAUUCUCAAAGAUCUGUCAUUCCCUCGUCUUACAUCAACACAAAAGCAAAGGAUAUAAGAAAAACCUGUCUCACAAAUAACCCAUCUUUCUAAUGAAAGAAAAUGCAGCAAGUAUUGAGAUACCAGAUGACACCAAUGCUGGAAACUAAACAAUGAAGCUGAAUCGAGUCCACAUUUGGC
rnacentral:lncRNA from 1 species